rnacentral:lncRNA from 1 species
GCUUUGAGCUAAUUAUUGCAGAGUUACUUUGUCUCUACCCUGCGCUUCAAAGCUUUCUGUGUUCAAAGUUGGCUUGUUAGUCGGCUCAGAGCUGGACCCAAGCUGGUUCAUGCUUUCAUGUGGCACUUCUCUGGGACUAACAAGCCUUCCCUGUAAACAGAAUUAUUUCGUGUACAGAGUGGAGACAUCCAAAUGUUUCUGAAAGAGAUAAUAGGUUAUCACUAAUACUGAACUGAAGCUAAUAAGCCUUGCUGGACUCAGACUGAUGAUAUGCAGAGCUAUCCAGCUGUGGCUCUGUACAGCUUUUUCCCAAGCUCCAAUUUCCAGAAGCAGUGUUUUGUGUGGCAUUAACUCCAGUCUCACAUAGUUUAUUGUGCCAAUUGUGAUGCUACGCAAAAGAGGCAAAAUUGAUUCUGGAACAGAAUCUCAAAUCAAACACAUUGCCGGAGCUAAAGAUCCCUAGCAGACUGAAGCUGGCCGGGCAUGAAGCCAUCUUGAUGUGUAUGCAGCUUUGAUGUAUCCUGAUGUCAUCUGCAGCUUGAAUAAACCUCCUAGAAAUAUCACUGAUUGGCUGUAAAGGAUAGCCAUAAUUAAUAGCAACAUUUGUGUCAGUUUUGAACCUUAUGGUCAAGAUGAAAGCUAAUGAAGGAACAAAAAAAAAAAACCCAAAAAACAAAAAACCCUGCAUCUGCCAUUCUGUGGUUCUGCUCCUUAUUUGAAAGCAUCUUCUGUUAUUCAGAGCUUAAGAACUGAAGGAGGAUAUCCUAACAAGCAAUGAAGGUGGAACUUAAACUGAGGCAUUUUGAAAAGAUGGCAUCUGAGAAGAGUACUGGGAGAAAUAGAUCAUAGAUUGUUUCAUCUUACGUGUAAAGCAGGGUAUGUAAUAAGUGUAAUUCAUAAGUAAUAGAUAAUAUUUAUAUUUUUUUUCUAUAUCUUAUAGUAGUUGCUCUACAUUCAGCAGAUGGCAAUGCAGUGACUUAAAAGAUUUCUUAUGAAAAUAGGAAUUUAUUAACAUUCUAUUAACAAUAAUGUGGGUUUUUUUGUCAUAUCUCCUAUGUUAAACAGG